CGUAGGCGCAAGCGUUAUCCGGAAUUAUUGGGCGUAAAGAGCUCGUAGGCGGUUUGUCGCGUCUGCUGUGAAACCCGAGGCUCAACCUCGGGCCUGCAGUGGGUACGGGCAGACUAGAGUGCGGUAGGGGAGAUUGGAAUUCCUGGUGUAGCGGUGGAAUGCGCAGAUAUCAGGAGGAACACCGAUGGCGAAGGCAGAUCUCUGGGCCGUAACUGACACUGAGGAGCGAAAGGGUGGGGGAGCAAACAGGCUU
rnacentral:rRNA from 1 species